AUGGUGCUGGAAAGGCAGGCUGCCUUCGAGGAAAACGGGAAAGGGCAAGAUGUUGUUUCUGAAGAGCGUCAAGAAAAGCAAAUAAAGAGGAAGGUAGCCUGUGAACGUCGGAGUUCUCGAAGGCUCAUGAGGGUCAAGGGGCAUCCAAAUCCCAGGAUAGAACGCGUCUCGUGUUUGGGACUCAGACCUCCAGUAGGUAGCAGAACCCGUGUUGGGAUGCAAAGCCUAGAAAUGUUCGCCCAUUAUGCUCGUGAAACACG
rnacentral:lncRNA from 1 species